UUACACUAGGGGAGCGUACGAGCUGAGAGUCUUAGGACAACCCUUACACCUGAUCCGGAUAAUACCGGCGGAGGGAAGUGUUCUC
rnacentral:ncRNA from 1 species